GCAGGAUCCAAGCUUUCAUUGAUACGCGCGGACCGUUCACUCUUUCAGCUAUAAAUUUCUUUUUUUGUCUACCAGUGACGAUCACGUUUGUUCACCACUUUUGGACAAUGUUCGAGAAUUCACUACUAGCUGUAAACAUCAUUUUUAUUGAAAACAAGAGACAUAAACAGAAAGGAUAUUUUGACUUUUGUGAUAUAAUUCAACUGAUUUUAUAUAUAUACACACACUGGCGAAUUGUUGUAAAUUAAUAUGUGAUUAUAAGUAUACUGUUGUGUGAAAUUUUUGCUUCACUUAAUAGCUGUUGCUUCACACUUGAAGUUGAAUAACUUGACGUGAAUUGACCUCAGGGGUGAUACAGGCGUCUACCACCCGUCGACUUUGAAAAAAAAAGAAAUCUCUCGACUUGCUUGGAUCCUAUACACAUUCAUCGCUCUUCUCGCGAUUCUGUUUUUAUUAAUUUGACUAAGGCACUAUAAUUGUCUUAUUUGGAUUCUCAACGCGUUUCGUUUUCUGUCUACGAAAAAAAUGAAAAUAAGGUACAAGGAUGGUUCCUUUUCAAUCUUCUCUCGUCUGGCUUUUAUAUAUACAAUAUAUACAAGACAUGUGGCAGAUCAUCUUCAAUAUUAUCAUCAACAGACACUCAUGCAUAUUAUUGCAAAAAUAGAGUGUGUUUCUACGUCAAAAUUGAUUGAGUGAUAACUUCCAACUAAUUUCCUGAUUAAAUCAGAAACCUAAUCGUUUACUAAUCGCCAAUCAGUUCUGUCCAAUUAUUUUUUAAAAGAUUAAUACGUUUUGCUAACAAUCUUGACAGUUUAAUAUUUCUAUAUUCAAUGAUAAUAAUAUUAUUUACAUUUAAAAGAAAAUUAAUUUCCUGAUUCUCAUCAGAAAAAUUUUUAUUUUCUUUUUCAAUUUGCAAAAACAAUUUUGUUUUAAAUUAAAGAUUGAAAAACACCAUUUUUUUUUUAAUUUGAAAAAAAAAUAUUUUUAUUCAAUGUUGAAUCAAACAGAAGCUGGAGCACCUGUUCUCCAAGUCAAGUAAAGAGUGAGGUUGGAUCGUUCUUGUUCAGUACUCUGUGCACACUCAAACUGAUAAGACGUUUUAUUCGCUAAUAAAAACAAAUUUUUCCAAAUUACAACUAUAAUAAAAAAUGACAAUUGUCGGUCUUAUUAAAUAUUUCCAACUCGCGCGUCCAAGUACAACCCUUAAACUUCAUUUUAAAAUCAAAUUCUUCGUUUUUUAUUUUUCUACAAGUUUAUUGCCAUAAAUAAAAAAUUAAUUUCUUAAUUCAAUAAUAACAAUAAUAGUAGUAGUUUGAUUUCUGAUAAAGAAAAUUUAAAUUUUUUUCUAAAAUUUCAUUAAAGAGGAAAACAAAAUUUGAUUCUAGAUUUCGAUUAAUUGCAAAACAAUUGGAAUUUAUGGGAGGUUUGAUAUAGUUACUUUCAUUUUAUUUCUUAUAUAUAUUUUCCUGCUCAGUGUAAAAAUAAUUGUUAAUUAUAACUAAGGUUAUUUCAGUGGAUUUAAUCAAGUGUUUCCUUAAAUAUUUAUCAGUGUUUUUAAGUGUAAAAUAAUAAUCAAGAUAAUUUUUCUGGAUAUUUCCAUUUCGAGUUAGUGCUUCGACAAUUUUUCAAUCGAGGAAAAUGAGUAUUUCGAAAAAGAUGGAGAAAAGAAGAUAAAGGAUAAAAUAAUCAUUUAUCGAAUUAUGGAAAAAGAGAUAAACUACCGUUGGACAGAGACAAAUUUUUGGAUAUGUUUUUUUAUAUACAAGAAGUGAAUUAUUUUAUCGGUAAUACUAUUUAAAACAAACAAGUUUAAAAUAAAAUCAGUUACGAGAUUUUUUUUUUAACUUCAUUUAAUCAAAUGACGAAAGAAAGAAAAGAAGAACCAAGAAAAAAAAGAAUCUAUUUAAACGAGUAGCAAGAAGAGAGAUAAAAUAUCGAAAAAAUUUAUUAACGGAAAAAUUUGUUACAUGAUGAAAGAAAAGAUUUUAAAAGGAAGUAAAAAAACAAAGAGAAGAUAAAAAAAUAUUAAAAUUGAGAAUUGAAAAAAUUGUUGGAGUAAAAGAAAGCAAAGAAGAGCUAAAAAAAUAGAAAUAAUAAGUAAGGAAAAGAUUACUAAAAGUACAGCGAAGCUAAAAAUUAAAGAAGAAAUAAAAAUUAAACUAAAAAGUAAUUUUUGACGUUUCUUAAGAAAGAAAAAUAUUAAAGAAGAAUGUAAGAAAUCAAACUAAAAAUAAAAAAAAAAGGAAAAAAGUGUUCAAAAACAUUAAUUAAAAUGAAAGAAGUUUCAAAAUAAGAGAACAAACAAAGAGCAAUUGAAGAGAAAGUAAAAAAUUACUGUAAGAAGAAGAAAGAAGCAAAAAGAAGCAACAAAUAAAAGAAGAAAUCCCUAAAAGAGUAUAAUAAAAAAAAGAAAAUAGAAAAAUAGCUAACAAAUUAAAAGAAUAAAAAAAUUUCAAAAUAAGAAAAAGAAAUAAAAAGAAGUUGAAGAAAUAAAAAUUUACUGUAAGAAGAAGAAAGAAGUAAAAGGAAGCAACAAAUAAAAGAGGAAAUCCCCAAAAGAGUGUAAUAGAAAAAAAAGUAGUUAACAAACAAAAAGUUUCAAAAUAAGAGAAAAAAUAAAUACAAGUUGAAGAAAAAAAAACUUACUGUAAGAGGAAGAAAGAAGUAAAAAGAUGCAACGAAAAGAAGCAACAAAUGAAAAAAAAUCCCUAAAAGAUUAUAAUAGAAAAAGAAAAUAAAAAAGAAGCUAACAAACUAAAAGAAAAUAAGAAAAGUUUCAUAAUAAGGAAAAAACAAAUACAAGUUGAAGAAACAAAAACUUACUGUAAGAACAAGAAAGAAGCAAAAAAAGUUGCAAUAAAGCAAAAAGAAGCUAAAAAAAAUCCCUAAAAAAAAAAGAAAACUAGUUGAAAGAAAAGAGAAUAAAGAAUAAAAAGUAAAAAAAGAGUAACUGAAAGAGGGAAAGUCCAUCUUUAUAGAUCAAGAAAUACUAAAAAGGGGAACCAACCGAAGAAGAAGAAGAAGAAGAAGAAGAAGAAGAGGAGGAAGAACACUAAAAAGAGGGAGACAGGAGUGAUGAAAAAAAAGAGGGAAAGAGAAUAAGAAGGGAUUUGUUUGUAAGGUGAGGUAACGGACAAGAGGGUCCACAAGAUCUGUCGCGUGCUACAUCUCCCAGGGAUGGGACAGAUGGGAACGGGACGAUGCAAGAUGAGGCGGAAUGGGACAAAACGGGAUUAUGGAUGGGAUGGAAUGAAUUCUAUGGACCAAUGUUUGUGAGUCAAUUUCUAUCUUAGUGUUGGUUUCACUCUCGACUGCCGGGACUCACAAGUCGUGUGUGCUCAUAUAUAUAUAUAUACGUGUAGUGUCUUCCUUUCGCAGUGUUGGUUGCUCUCUCUCUCUUUCUCUUUUUCUCUCUUUCUCUCUCACACUGAUAUGUGUGUCUCUCUACGAGAGCGAAGCGAAGAGUGCUUGCCCGAACGGAGAACAGAACCGCGGCACUCGUUCAGUAGUUUCUCGGACGCCGUACCGGCACCAUCCGACCUACGUGAUAACCCUAGAUUCUAUCAGCCUCCCCCUAAUACAAAUCUCUCUCUCUCUCUCUCUUUCUCUCUACUCUCUUUUUCAAAUUUAAUCCAAUCCCCCCCCAAAAAAAAAUUUGCUCAAGAAAAUUUUUUCCAAUCAUGAUUUUUUGAUAUAAUCAUUCAAAGUGAUAAACACGUGUUCGCCGGCAAAAAAAAAUUUUUCUAUCAUGAGUGUGAAUUAAUUUUUUUGUUUCUUUUUCUGUCAAAAAACUUUAGUGCAAAAAAAAAAAAAAAAUUGAGAGAAAAAUAGAUGAUAAAAUCAAAUUUGCAAUAUAUCGUGUGAAAAUUAUUUGUCCAAAACAAAAAGGAAUAUUAAUUUUUGUGAAUCAAAUCAAUUGGACCCAAUGUCAUCAAUUCCUUGGUUUUUGAUUUUCGCGAAUAUUUGAAUUUUAAUCAUCCAUUUGGAUUGUAUUUAUAAUUUUUUUUCUUCUUUCUUUUUGGAUAAUUGAGGGGGGUGGGGUGUCAAUAAUGCGAGAGGAUCGAGAUCGCGGUGCCUGCGUGGUACCCGCGGAUCAUCAGUGUUGGAGCCACCCUUUCAGUGCGCGGCCGAGGCAGACUUGAGGGAUUUUUCUUUCAUCACAGAAAGGGUGGUUACCAAGAUUUAAUAACAACAAUAAUCCUAUUCAAGGAUUGGGGGGCAUAAAACGGGAGUGUGGAUGAGAGCGUCAUGCCCGCUGUGAUCGACACAGGAGGGCCGAGGGUGCUGCAUAAUAAUCAUUAUGAGAGUCCCACCACAUCGUUUAUAUUCAUUCCCGAGAGAAUUCAAAGGGACAAAUUUUUUUAUCAUCAUGAACAAAGAUUCUUAUGUGAUUCCAAACGUGAGAGGACCUAUAGUGAGGGUUUAUUGGAUCUCGAUAGUUCACCGGAAGUUCGACGAAGGAGAAUUAAAAGAACAAGAAGAGGUGAAUUGAUUGAUGACAAAGUGAAAAGAAAAAAUGACAAUUUGUCAAGAAUUCAUGAUUUUAAUCAACAACCGGAAUUACGAGGUA